rnacentral:rRNA from 1 species
UACAGAGGGGGCAAGCGUUAUUCGGAAUUACUAGGCGUAAAGCGAGUGUAGGCGGGCGCUUAAGUCCGUUGUGAAAUCUCCCGGCUUAACUGGGAGGGGUCAAUGGAUACUGGGCGUCUUGAGUGAGGUAGGGGGCAGUGGAAUUCCCGGUGUAGCGGUAGAAAUGCGUAGAUAGUCGGGAGGAACACCUAUGGCGAAAGCAGCUGCCUGGGCCUUUACUGACGCUAAGACUCGAAAGCUAGGGGAGCAAACAGG